AGUGAACGCUGGCGGUAGGCCUAACACAUACAAGUCGAACGGCAGCACAGUAAGAGCUUGCUCUUACGGGUGGCGAGUGGCGGACGGGUGAGGAAUACAUCGGAAUCUACUUUUUCGUGGGGGAUAACGUAGGGAAACUUACGCUAAUACCGCAUACGACCUACGGGUGAAAGCAGGGGAUCUUCGGACCUUGCGCGAUUGAAUGAGCCGAUGUCGGAUUAGCUAGUUGGCGGGGUAAAGGCCCACCAAGGCGACGAUCCGUAGCUGGUCUGAGAGGAUGAUCAGCCACACUGGAACUGAGACACGGUCCAGACUCCUACGGGAGGCAGCAGUGGGGAAUAUUGGACAAUGGGCGCAAGCCUGAUCCAGCCAUACCGCGUGGGUGAAGAAGGCCUUCGGGUUGUAAAGCCCUUUUGUUGGGAAAGAAAAGCAGCAGGUUAAUACCCCGCUGUUCUGGCGGUACCCAAAGAAUAAGCACCGGCUAACUUCGUG
rnacentral:rRNA from 1 species